UACGAGAGGCCCAAACGUUAUUCGGAUUUACUGGGCUUAAAGAGUUCGUAGGCGGUCUAGCAAGUGAGGUGUGAAAGCCCUCGGCUCAACCGAGGAAUUGCGCUUCAAACUGCUAGGCUCGAGGGAGAUAGAGGUGAGCGGAACUGAUGGUGGAGCGGUGAAAUGCGUUGAUAUCAUCAGGAACACCAGAGGCGAAGGCGGCUCACUGGGUCUUUUCUGACGCUGAGGAACGAAAGCUAGGGGAGCAAACAGG
rnacentral:rRNA from 1 species